UCAAGUCAAUCGGUAAUCAGACAAAGAUGAUGAACGGAGAUUAGCGGAGGCCCCAAGCUCCGCUCCGAAUCCGUCAAGUCCUUGCUGCAAUCACAGCCGUCCGAACCCGCGGUCGCCCCUAACGAACGGUGUACCGAGCUUCGUCGUUUUGAUCUCCUACGCACCAACCUACAUUUUCCAGCGACCGCAACAGAAGCCAGGAACCGCACCCUGCCCACUCUCUCUCUCUCUCUCCAGCCCUCUGAAAAAGUCACCGCAAGCCUCUCUCACCACUCGGCAAUGGCGACCUUGGAGCUGAUCUUUUAGUUCAAUUCCGGAAAUUGCAGCGGCUUCCCUUUUCGUUUCUGCAACAUAUUUUGGUUUCUUGGUGAAAAUGACUUCUUUGGCUGCAAAACCCUCCUUCGUACUUUUCUCCCACGUAUCAUCCUCUAUGUCGUCAUUGUCAUCAUCAUCAUCAUCUUCUUCUGCUUCUUCUACUUCUUUUGCAUACGAGCCUCUUUCCUUCGCUCCGAUUAGCACUGCUAGGAAGGAGCGAAAUGGUUGCAGUGGCAACCGAAGGAGACCUUCUUUGAGAAUUGCCGCUUACGAUUCUUCCAAGGGCGACAACUCUAAUGGCACCAAUGGCGACUCUAAAGCACCUAACGGCACUCUGUCAAAAAGCAGGAAAGAUCUUCUUCUGGAGUAUGUCAAGAAUGUGCAACCAGAAUUCAUGGAGCUGUUUGUCAAAAAAGCUCCGCAGCAGGUAGUCGAUGCUAUGAGACAAACUGUCACAAAUAUGAUUGGCACACUACCUCCCCAAUUUUUUGCGGUGACUGUGACUACUGUUGCUGAAAAUCUUGCUCAGCUCAUGUAUAGUGUUCUGAUGACUGGAUACAUGUUUCGGAAUGUACAAUACCGCCUAGAACUACAACAGAGCUUGGAUCAGGUUGCUCUCCACGAAAAGCCAGAUAAAAAGGAUGCUCCGGAUUAUGCACCGGGUACAGAAAAAAAGGUGUCAGGCGAAGUGAUCAGGUGGAAUAAUGUGUCUGGCCCUGAGAAAAUUGAUGCUGUGAAAUACAUUGAGUUACUUGAAGCAGAAAUUGAGGAAUUGAAUCAGCAAAUAGGUAGAACAACCAAUGGACAAAAUGAAUUGUUGGAAUAUCUCAAAACUCUCGAACCACAGAAUCUUAAGGAGUUGACCAGUAGUGCGGGUGAGGAUGCUAUCCUUGCCAUGAACACCUUUAUAAAGCGGCUUCUUGCCGUCUCUGAUCCUGGUCAAAUGAAGACAACAGUGUCGGAGACAAGUGCACCAGAACUUGCCAAGCUUCUAUACUGGCUAAUGGUUGUGGGCUAUGGCAUACGGAAUAUCGAGGUUCGUUUUGAUAUGGAAAGAGUAUUAGGAACUUCUCCCAAGCUCGCAGAGUUGCCUCCUGGUGAGAACAUCUAAUGCCCAUCCGAACGGCAAAUUGCAAGGUUUCUAAGGAGCUGGAAGUCAUACUAUUUUCCGGGGCGAUCAUGUGAAGAUUUUGCUUCCUCCAUGGAGAGCUUUUCUUUGCACCGAGAAAGCAGUCUCAGGCUUAAAGAAAACCUAAAAUGUCGAUACAUCUAAGUGCUAACAGUGCUACAGGCGCACCUGCAAGUCUUUAUUGCAUCCUCUGAUGUGUCAUCUGAUAACCCCGAACCCUGUAUAUGAUUUAUGGAAAGCUUCGUGGCUUUGUGAAUGAAGAUCCAGACGUGCUCCCACUAUUUUCGAGCUUUUGUAGGAUGUGUUAACAUCUGAUUCGUGGUAGUAAAGGCUUCUCAUAUAUAAGAAUACGGUGAAGAGAUUUGACAGUAGUUACGCAGAGGACAAGGCAACUGUUCUGAGAAGUAAACCAGGCUAACGAUCAAUGACUUUU